CAAUCCUAAGAUGUUCAAGGUAUUUCUUGAAAGAUUGGGGAAAAUGACGUAAUUCAUAUACGCCAUCACAAACUUGCUCUUUGUAUCAUCGACACUAAUGUCCAUUCGAUGUUGAAAGGUAUCGGGCAAAUUUAAAAGGCUCGAACACUCCCUUGUGAUAGGUAAAAACGGUUGUCGAAACCUCAUCUGGGUCUAUAUCGGUUAUCCUAGACUGCAGUCAAGCGUUGUGAACACUUUCGUGUAGUCGAUCAAGGGAAACUGGUAUGAAUCCUUUACCGUUACAGCGUUGAGGCUGCGACGGGAGAAGCCCAACGACUCUGGGAGUUGCAAACAGCUCCGGUGUCGAUC